GCUGAGCCGAAUGAUGCUACAAUUGUCAACGUCAUGUUCUUCUGUUUGUUCCUUGAGUUCAGACCAGCAGGUGCAUUCCUUUAUCAGUACACUGCCAUAUCUCAGGGUGAGUAACAAUUGGAGAUGCCUUGAUCAACAUGAACGUCAAGUGUGGUGGACAUUUGUGUGCGGGUCUUUCCCUUUUUAAGACCCUGUAGUGCAAAUAUAUCAUUUGGUCACAACAAUAAGCUGUAUGGCCAUGAGUUGACCAUACUGCUCUUUUCCCGAACUAGGCAGUGGGGUUUCUCCUGAUACUGAAAUCUUCCUUGGGUUGUUAACAGCAUGCAGUGAUGCAAACCUGGUAAAGCAACUGUUGAUGUUCUUCAAUGCUAUGAAGAAAGUUCACUGGAAUCUCCUUGAAACACAGAAUGAUGCUUGUUUGGUCGAUAUGUAUGGUCGAGCUGGGCUCUUGGAGGAAGCAGAGGCUUUUUAAGAAUUGCAUGUGGAAGCUUCUGGUUGUGUUAGAUGAGCAGGUACUUGAUGCUUUCAAAAUUCAUGGGAAUGAGAGGAUGGUUGAGAGAAUUAGACAAGGACUCUUGAAUAAUGAGAGAGCGAGAAAUGGAAUGUGCCCUGUUACCCAAUGCUUUUGCUAAACAUGAAAGGUGGGAUGAUAAGGUUCAUGAUGAAUUAAGGAGUAUUGGGUUUGAAGAGUGACACAGCCAGGUUCUAGCUGAUUGAGAUCAAUUGAUCCAAUAUACCUAUACUUCGUAUGAUCCUCAUACUACCAAAUAUGGUGUGGUUUCAGAAAUUUGAGUGAAUAUGGUGAUAUCUGAAGAUAAAACCCAGUUUGAGAUGUGUCAAAUCGUUCUCUGAAAAAUGAGAACCAGAAGAGGGGUUGAAGCUGCAGAGGAACAGAGAAGUAGGAAUCAGUAACGGCCAAUAAGAUGGACCCAACCUGUCAGCGCGAAGAUCAAAGGCAGAAUUAGCAGUAGAUGUGAGCUUUGGUGUGCUCUCUGGCGCUUGUGACUUGGGGAGCUGAACCACUAGUUAUCUGGAAAAUGAAGGCUGAAACUUACAGGAAUUGGUAUUACUAGCAAGGAAAUGGAGCAAGAUUGUUGUUUAUUGGAAGAAUCUCAAUUCAGUCAUUAAAAAGACUACGGCAUCAGAGAAGCCUAAAAUACCUGAUCACCAAAAUCUAGAUUCCUGCUAGUGAUUUCUUUUCUGCACGAAUCUCAGGGGAUGGAAGUAGA